GGGAAGAUGGGGUCUUGAUUCAUAAAGAUCCUCAGGUUGUUACCUUGCUAUCGGAGAAGAUGAAAAUGCAACUCCUCAUUAUAUGAAAUGCUAUCUUUUGUUGAAGUGAAAGAUGGGCAGGGCUCCAUGUUAUGAUAAAGAAAAUGUAAAGAGGGGUCCUUGGUCUACCGAAGAAGACAUGGGCGUAUAUAGCUUGACACAAGGGGUAGCUCCUGCUACCCCUUGACGCUCCAACGAUCCGCCAUUGGAAGAAGAUGCAAAACUCAAGAACCUCAUUGAAAACUAUGCUACUAGAUGUAUCUGGAUUGUUCUCCCUCACAAAGCUGUCUUACCAUGCACUAUUUUUGGGGUUUAAAUCUAUUUUUUCUCUUAUGUGGAGGAUGCGGCAAGUUACAUAAAUAGAGU